rnacentral:rRNA from 1 species
GCAUAUUCUCUGAAGGAGGAAAGUAGGGGAUCGAAAGACCUUAUGCUUUUGGAGCGGCCGAUGUCUGAUUAGCUAGUUGGUAGGGUAAUGGCUUACCAAGGCGACGAUCAGUAGUUGGUCUGAGAGGACGACCAGCCACACUGGGACUGAGACACGGCCCAGACUCCUACGGGAGGCAGCAGUGGGGAAUUUUGGACAAUGGGCGCAAGCCUGAUCCAGCAAUGCCGCGUGAGUGAAGAAGGCCUUCGGGGUUGUAAAGCUCUUUCAGUUGAGAAGAAAAAGUCGUGACUAAUAAUCAUGAUUCAUGACGGUAUCAACAGAAGAAGCACCGGCUAACUACGUGCCAGCAGCCGCGGUAAUACGUAGGGUGCAAGCGUUAAUCGGAAUUACUGGGCGUAAAGGGUGCGCAGGCGGUUCUGUAAGUCAGAUGUGAAAUCCCCGGGCUUAACCUGGGAACUGCGUUUGAAACUGCAGAGCUAGAGUGCAGCAGAGGGAGGGGA